rnacentral:rRNA from 1 species
UGGGGAAUUUUGGACAAUGGGCGAAAGCCUGAUCCAGCAAUGCCGCGUGUGUGAAGAAGGCCUUCGGGUUGUAAAGCACUUUUGUCCGGAAAGAAAUCCUUGGCUCUAAUACAGUCGGGGGAUGACGGUACCGGAAGAAUAAGCACCGGCUAACUACGUGCCAGCAGCCGCGGUAAUACGUAGGGUGCAAGCGUUAAUCGGAAUUACUGGGCGUAAAGCGUGCGCAGGCGGUUUGCUAAGACCGAUGUGAAAUCCCCGGGCUCAACCUGGGAACUGCAUUGGUGACUGGCAGGCUAGAGUAUGGCAGAGGGGGGUAGAAUUCCACGUGUAGCAGUGAAAUGCGUAGAGAUGUGGAGGAAUACCGAUGGCGAAGGCAGCCCCCUGGGCCAAUACUGACGCUCAUGCACGAAAGCGUGGGGAGCAAACAGGAUUAGAUACCCUGGUAGUCCACGCCCUAAACGAUGUCAACUAGUUGUUGGGGGAUUCAUUUCCUUAGUAACGUAGCUAACGCGUGAAGUUGACCGCCUGGGGAGUACGGUCGCAAGAUUAAAACUCAAAGGAAUUGACGGGGUCC